AGACGGUGAGAAUAAUCACUUCCGCCUCAAAUCCUCUUCUCUGCUUGAGACAUUCAUCUCCUCCCUCACUCGAAACAAAAACAAACUUACAAAUUAAACCUAAACCGUUACUCCUAUCACAAACCAAACCCAACACUAAAAGCACGCAAAGGCAAACGUCAUCAUCAAAAUCAUGAACCCUAAACAAAUAGGGUCGACCUUGAAUACUGAAAAACAAGAAGGGACAAUCACUUACAGAGAAGUGAAUCAAGCGUGAAAAAAAA
rnacentral:lncRNA from 1 species